rnacentral:rRNA from 1 species
GUAGGUGGCAAGCGUUGUCCGGAAUUAUUGGGCGUAAAGCGCGCGCAGGCGGUUCUUUAAGUCUGAUGUGAAAGCCCACGGGCUCAACCGUGGAGGGUCAUUGGAAACUGGAGAACUUGAGUACAGAAGAGGAAAGCGGAAUUCCACGUGUAGCGGUGAAAUGCGUAGAGAUGUGGAGGAACACCAGUGGCGAAGGCGGCUUUCUGGUCUGUAACCGACGCUGAGGCGCGAAAGCGUGGGGAGCAAACAGGAUUAGACACCCUGGUAGUCCACGCCGUAAACGAUGAGUGCUAAGUGUUAGGGGGUUUCCGCCCCUUAGUGCUGCAGCUAACGCAUUAAGCACUCCGCCUGGGGAGUACGGCCGCAAAGGCUG